rnacentral:rRNA from 1 species
UACAGAGGGGGCAAGCGUUGUUCGGAAUUACUGGGCGUAAAGGGCGCGUAGGCGGCCUUCUAAGUCGAACGUGAAAUCCCGGGGCUCAACCCGGGAACUGCGUCCGAGACUGGAAGGCUUGAAUCCGGGAGAGGGAUGUGGAAUUCCAGGUGUAGCGGUGAAAUGCGUAGAUAUCUGGAGGAACAUCGGUGGCGAAGGCGGCAUCCUGGACCGGUAUUGACGCUGAGGCGCGAAAGCCAGGGGAGCAAACGGG